rnacentral:rRNA from 1 species
GACAGAGGUCCCGAGCGUUAGGCGGAAUCACUGGGCUUAAAGCGUGUGUAGGCGGAUCGUUAAGUGCCUUGUGAAAUCCCAUGGCUUAACCAUGGAACUGCUUGGCAUACUGGCGAUCUUGAGCCACUUAGGGGCAACCGGAACAAAUGGUGGAGCGGUGAAAUGCGUAGAUAUCAGGAGGAACACCGAUGGCGAAGGCAGGUCUCUGGGCAUUAACUGACGCUGAGGAGCGAAAGCAUGGGGAGCGAACAGG